UACAGAGGGUGCGAGCGUUAAUCGGAAUUACUGGGCGUAAAGCGCACGUAGGUGGCUUGGCAAGUCGGGUGUGAAAUCCCCGGGCUCAACCUGGGAACUGCGUCUGAUACUGGAGGGCUUGAGUAUGGGAGAGGGAUGUAGAAUUCCAGGUGUAGCGGUGAAAUGCGUAGAUAUCUGGAGGAAUACCGGUGGCGAAGGCGGCAUCCUGGACCAUUACUGACGCUGAGGCGCGAAAGCUAGGGGAGCAAACGGG
rnacentral:rRNA from 1 species